GGAAGGCUUAUGUGAACUGAUGCAAAGUGAAGUGAGCAGAACCAGAACACUAUACCUACUAAUGAGAAUUAGACCAUGAGCACAGGAUUGGAGACGUCAGCCAUUGCUUCACUCUUCAUCUGGUUUUGGAGGUUCUCCACAGUAAAGGCAUUUCAAAGGAAAAACACAUGUCAAUGUAGAAUCUGCCAGAGUGAGACGAAAUAAGGUCUGGAAUUAGAAGGCAAAGAGAUUGUGUUAAGCAAGGACCAACACGUUAUACUUGAGUCCACAGCAGUAAAAUAAUUUGUAUAUUGGAAGAGGAAUGAUUACUGAUAUAGAAAUAACUGACUGACAAGAUAAAUCCCCACAAGAACAUGCUAACUAUAAGAGAACCUGAAGCCCCCGGAAGAAAGCUGAUUUGCCCAAGGUUACUCAGGCAGAAAAGGAGGAGGGGCAAAAAUAGAAAGAUGAGGAAAAGUAUGGGGAAGAGGAAGAAAGACAGAGAAGAAGUAGAGGAAGAAGAAAGAGGAGAGAAAGAAGAGAAGGAAUUACUUUUUAUUUACUUUACAAAUAUAUCAUAUUUAUUUUGAUAUAUAUUAUUUUCCCUCCACUGAAGUUUAAGUUCCUUCAGGACAUGGAUUGCUGAUUUUUUUUUUCUUUGAAUUCCCAAUGGCUAGAAGAGGUGUCCACCUAUGGUAAACACUUUAAUAAUGCUUAUGAUGAAUUAAAUUAAAUCAAACCCAGUCAACUUAGUUGCCUCCUAAAGCUGUUUGGAGCUCUGUGAAUAUCACUCAGGUACUUUGGUGGGCUUGUGAUCUCACUGAUACAGAUUCUUAGGGCUAGUACAAAGCAAAACAUUUAUACAAAGUGUUAUAAUGUACAAAGCACAACCAUGAUGUCUCAUUCUACAUGAUCCUCUUCUAUAUUCUCCUACAAAUUCUUCUCAAAAGUCCAAUCCAACUCACUGGCCACUUUCCUUGGAGUCUUUGGGAAGCAGUUACCUUUUCUCCGUAGUCCCUAAUUUUCACUAAAUGACUGUCCUACCUCCUUUUUCUAUCAUACUUGUCUUCAGUUCUAGUUUUUACAUGCAAAUCAUCAUUGUGUCAGAUUGUGGGUCUCUUUAUUGUUCUUUCUGUCCCAGCAAUUUUGCUUCUUUGCCAGUCACAGUGAUCUAUGAUUUACAACUUUGUGUCCUCACCAGAAGGCUAUUGCUAUUCAAUAAAUGAAUUUUAGUAGGAUCCUGCCA
rnacentral:lncRNA from 1 species